GUGUAGUCAAUUCUGGGGAGGUUGUCAGAGCGACGGGUCUGCCGAAGGCAAGGAACGGAGUCACAGGUUAAUAGCAAUGAGCCUUCAGGCAAAAGUCCAAGAGUAGGUUUCAGCCCAAAGGUAAAGAGACUCUUCUUUGAUCCCUACUUCGUCAUAAAGAAUGGAGCCCAACGUAAUGGAAGACAGAACUGCAGCCACCAAGAGGCAUACACCAAAAUUUCCAGGAGUGUAGAAGAUUGCACAGAUUAUGAUGCUAUAGACCGAAGCGAGAGCACCUUUUGGGACUUUCUGGCUGUGAAGAGAGUAUCUACCGGUUAAUCUGAAUCUCCUGAGAGGGUUGAUAAGGGACAGCGGACCCAUUAUAUCCAUUUUGUUUUGCAGCAUGCCCUGGCCUACACUGACUAAUACAUCAACGUGGAAAGAAGAACAAUGUGCUGUAUGAAGGUGUAUCCUCCAUCCUCAAGGCCUAAACUCUAGAAAUCUCCAUUUUACUGGGAAAGAAACACAAAGGGUGAGAGGUGCUGGAGCUGUUCUCCACAUCCCAUAUGCUGGGCAACAUGGAGACCAUGUCUGAGGCUUUUGCCCAGCCUCCUGGAGUAAACGCACCCGACAUGCACGGUCAGAUAUCUGCAUCAGCUGAGUGGAUUACCCUCACUUUUCAAUUAUGUGACCUAAUUCUCUUCCUCUUCAUGAAUGAAAGAGAAUAAUAUUCUUUAUAUAAUUCAUAAAAUGAU